CCUACGGGAGGCAGCAGUGAGGAAUAUUGGUCAAUGGACGAGAGUCUGAACCAGCCAAGUAGCGUGAAGGAUGACUGCCCUAUGGGUUGUAAACUUCUUUUAUAUGGGAAUAAAAUGUUCCACGUGUGGGAUUUUGUAUGUACCAUAUGAAUAAGGAUCGGCUAACUCCGUGCCAGCAGCCGCGGUAAUACGGAGGAUCCGAGCGUUAUCCGUAUUUAUUGGGUUUAAAGGGAGCGUAGGUGGAUUGUUAAGUCAGUUGUGAAAGGUUGCGGCUCAACCGUAAAAUUGCAGUUGAAACUGGCAGUCUUGAGUACAGUAGAGGUGGGCGGAAUUCGUGGUGUAGCGGUGAAAUGCUUAGAUAUCACGAAGAACUCCGAUUGCGAAGGCAGCUCACUGGACUGCAACUGACACUGAGGCUCGAAAGUGUGGGUAUCAAACAGGAUUAGAUACCCCAGUAGUC
rnacentral:rRNA from 1 species